rnacentral:rRNA from 1 species
UACGGAGGGGGCUAGCGUUGUUCGGAAUUACUGGGCGUAAAGCGCACGUAGGCGGCUUUGUAAGUUAGAGGUGAAAGCCCAGGGCUUAACCCUGGAAUUGCCUCUAAGACUGCAUCGCUAGAAUCGUGGAGAGGUGAGUGGAAUUCCGAGUGUAGAGGUGAAAUUCGUAGAUAUUCGGAAGAACACCAGUGGCGAAGGCGACUCACUGGACACGUAUUGACGCUGAGGUGCGAAAGCGUGGGGAGCAAACAGG